rnacentral:rRNA from 1 species
UGGCAGCUUGCUGUCGGGGUGAGAGUGGCGAACGGGUGAGUAAUGCGUGACCAACCUGCCCUGUGCACCGGAAUAGCUCCUGGAAACGGGUGGUAAUACCGGAUGCUCCGCUCCAUCGCAUGGUGGGGUGGGAAAUGCUUUUGCGGCAUGGGAUGGGGUCGCGUCCUAUCAGCUUGUUGGCGGGGUGAUGGCCCACCAAGGCGUUGACGGGUAGCCGGCCUGAGAGGGUGACCGGCCACAUUGGGACUGAGAUACGGCCCAGACUCCUACGGGAGGCAGCAGUGGGGAAUAUUGCACAAUGGGCGCAAGCCUGAUGCAGCGACGCCGCGUGCGGGAUGGAGGCCUUCGGGUUGUAAACCGCUUUUGUUCAAGGGCAAGGCACGGUUUCGGCCGUGUUGAGUGGAUUGUUCGAAUAAGCACCGGCUAACUACGUGCCAGCAGCCGCGGUAAUACGUAGGGUGCGAGCGUUAUCCGGAUUUAUUGGGCGUAAAGGGCUCGUAGGCGGUUCGUCGCGUCCGGUGUGAAAGUCCAUCGCCUAACGGUGGAUCUGCGCCGGGUACGG